AAGGAUCAUCCCUUUUCAUUUCUUAAGUGACCUGGAAGAAAAUGGGAAUUACCAAAGUUGGAAUGAAGACACCAGAUUCUAUUACUCUUCUAGUUGUGAUAAUGGUUUCUCUACUUGCAGGUUGCUCGGCAAGGAGUUACUAUGAGUUUUCUCCGCCACCCAACAACUCUCCUCCACAGCAUCGGCAGUAUUAUGAAUUCCCUCCACCUCCCAAUAAAGAACUUGUUGCUCCCCCUCCUCCUCAUCGGCAUUAUUAUGAAUACCCACCCCCACCUACUGCCUCUCCACCUCCUCAUCGGCAUUAUUAUGAAUACCCUCCACCACCUACUGCUUCUCCACCUCCUCAUCGGCAGUAUUAUGAAUUUUCUCCACCUCCUCCUCCUCAUCACCACCACCAUCAUCAUCACAAAUCAACAAAAUCGCCUCCUCCUCCUCACUACUAGUAACUUAUCAAAGCAGCCCAUGUGUGAGUGGUCGAUAACCUAUAUUAUAUGGAGAUGAAGGGCGAGAAAGUCACAAAAUUAAAGGAUUCGCAGUUGCUUGAUGACUUGCGUCUUUAGUAAAAUAAUAUAUAUAAUGUAUCACGGGAUUUUAUAUAUCGUUUGCUUCUAUUUGUAUGUUCUUUGAACAGUACUUUAAAAACGAAUAUAGUUUAUUCUUUUCUUUUUUGUGUGUAUAUAAAAGGUUUUUGUUUGUUAUGGUUCGUCAAUUUAUGAAAAAUACAUGAUGUAUACUUGUUAUUAUUAAUCUUCUUUAGUGGAGGCUUGUGGUUGUU